UUGGAUAUUGUUGCCAGAGAGUGGGCUAGAGAGUCUAGGGGUAGAUCGCCUGUCGAGAGAUGGCAGAAUAAGAUUAGGCAUUUGAGGUGCUUUCUUCGAGGUUGGGCUAAACAUCUAAGUGGAGUUUAUAAGGUUGAGAAAGACAGACUCCUGGAGAUUAUUCAAUACCUAGAUGUUAAAGCUGAAUCAGCGGUUCUUCAAUCUGCGGAUAUGUGCUGUAAGAUUGAUGCGGAAAAGAGGUUGAAGGAACUUCUCCGCGAAGAAGAGCUGAAGUGGGCGCUCAGAGCAAAGGUGCGCAAAGUAAUCCAAGGGGAUGCGAACACUCAAUUCUUUCAUCUGAUUGCGAAUGGCAAACACAGAAAGAAAAAAAUAUUUCAGCUCGAGCAAGAUGAAGGCACAAUUGUUGGUCACGAUAAUCUUAAGCUAUACAUCACCGAAUACUACAAGCAGUUAUUUGGACCGCCGGAGGAUAGCGCUGUGUCCCUCGAUGAGUCCAGGACUGAGGAUGUGCCUCAAUUAACUGCUGCUGAUAAUGACAUGCUAGUUGCGCCGUUUACGGAAAAGGAGGUUUUCGAUGCCAUCUCUCAGAUGGAGAACAAUAAGGCU
rnacentral:rRNA from 1 species